rnacentral:rRNA from 1 species
AGAGUUUGAUCAUGGCUCAGAUUGAACGCUGGCGGCAGGCCUAACACAUGCAAGUCGAACGGUAACAGGAAGCAGCUUGCUGCUUCGCUGACGAGUGGCGGACGGGUGAGUAAUGUCUGGGAAGCUGCCUGAUGGAGGGGGAUAACUACUGGAAACGGCAGCUAAUACCGCAUAAUGUCGCAGGACCAAAGAGGGGGACCUUCGGGCCUCUUGCCAUCGGAUGUGCCCAGAUGGGAUUAGCUUGUUGGUGGGGUAACGGCUCACCAAGGCGACGAUCCCUAGCUGGUCUGAGAGGAUGACCAGCCACACUGGAACUGAGACACGGUCCAGACUCUUACGGGAGGCAGCAGUGGGGAAUAUUGCACAAUGGGCGCAAGCCUGAUGCAGCCAUGCCGCGUGUAUGAAGAAGGCCUUCGGGUUGUAAAGUACUUUCAGCGGGGAGGAAGGGAGUAAAGUUAAUACCUUUGCUCAUUGACGUUACCCGCAGAAGAAGCACCGGCUAACUCCGUGCCAGCAGCCGCGGUAAUACGGAGGGUGCAAGCGUUAAUCGGAAUUACUGGGCGUAAAGCGCACGCAGGCGGUUUGUUAAGUCAGAUGUGAAAUCCCCGGGCUCAACCUGGGAACUGCAUCUGAUACUGGCAAGCUUGAGUCUCGUAGAGGGGGGUAGAAUUCCAGGUGUAGCGGUGAAAUGCGUAGAGAUCUGGAGGAAUACCGGUGGCGAAGGCGGCCCCCUGGACGAAGACUGACGCUCAGGUGCGAAAGCGUGGGGAGCAAACAGGAUUAGAUACCCUGGUAGUCCACGCCGUAAACGAUGUCGACUUGGAGGUUGUGCCCUUGAGGCGUGGCUUCCGGAGCUAACGCGUUAAGUCGACCGCCUGGGGAGUACGGCCACAAGGUUAAAACUCAAAUGAAUUGACGGGGGCCCGCACAAGCGGUGGAGCAUGUGGUUUAAUUCGAUGCAACGCAAAGAACCUUACCUGGUCUUGACAUCCACGGAAGUUUUCAGAGAUGAGAAUGUGCCUUCGGGAACCGUGAGACAGGUGCUGCAUGGCUGUCGUCAGCUCGUGUUAUGAAAUGUUGGGUUAAGUCCCGCAACGAGCGCAACCCUUAUCCUUUGUUGCCAGCGGUCCGGCCGGGAACUCAAAGGAGACUGCCAGUGAUAAACUGGAGGAAGGUGGGGAUGACGUCAAGUCAUCAUGGCCCUUACGACCAGGGCUACACACGUGCUACAAUGGCGCAUACAAAGAGAAGCGACCUCGCGAGAGCAAGCGGACCUCAUAAAGUGCGUCGUAGUCCGGAUUGGAGUCUGCAACUCGACUCCAUGAAGUCGGAAUCGCUAGUAAUCGUGGAUCAGAAUGCCACGGUGAAUACGUUCCCGGGCCUUGUACACACCGCCCGUCACACCAUGGGAGUGGGUUGCAAAAGAAGUAGGUAGCUUAACCUUCGGGAGGGCGCUUACCACUUUGUGAUUCAUGACUGGGGUGAAGUCGUAACAAGGUAACCGUAGGGGAACCUGCGGUUG